UACGGAGGGGGCUAGCGUUGUUCGGAAUUACUGGGCGUAAAGCGCACGUAGGCGGCUUUGCAAGUUAGAGGUGAAAGCCCGGGGCUUAACCCCGGAAUUGCCUUUAAAACUGCAUCGCUAGAAUUGUGGAGAGGUGAGUGGAAUUCCUAGUGUAGAGGUGAAAUUCGUAGAUAUUAGGAAGAACACCAGUGGCGAAGGCGGCUCACUGGCCCGGUACUGACGCUGAGGUGCGAAAGCGUGGGGAGCAAACAGG
rnacentral:rRNA from 1 species